GCUGGGAAUGUAGCUUAGUGGUAGAACGCUUGCUUGCCUAGCAUGCAGGAGGCCUGGGUUCUACCCCAAGUCCUGCA
rnacentral:tRNA from 1 species